CAGCGGAGCAUGUGGUUUAAUUCGAAGCAACGCGAAGAACCUUACCAGGGCUUGACAUGCCGCUGACCGGUUUAGAGAUAGAUCUUUAUCCUUCGGGGUACAGCGGACACAGGUGGUGCAUGGUUGUCGUCAGCUCGUGUCGUGAGAUGUUGGGUUAAGUCCCGCAACGAGCGCAACCCUUGUCUUUAGUUGCCAUCAUUAAGUUGGGCACUCUAAAGAGACUGCCGAUGACAAAUCGGAGGAAGGUGGGGAUGACGUCAAAUCAUCAUGCCCUUUAUGUCCUGGGCUACACACGUGCUACAAUGGUCGGUACAACGAGAAGCAAGUCAGCGAUGGCAAGCAAAUCUCUAAAAGCCGAUCCCAGUUCGGAUUGCAGGCUGCAACUCGCCUGCAUGAAGUCGGAGUUGCUAGUAAUCGCGGAUCAGAAUGCCGCGGUGAAUGCGUUCCCGGGUCUU
rnacentral:rRNA from 2 species